GCUUGAUUUUCACGUCUCACUUCCUGCCAGUGUCUGACUCCUGAUAGACGCACUAUUUGCACCCAGUUUCACAGCCGAAUCCUGAAUGCCAUAUGGGUUCCUAUCAGCCCCAUGCUGAACCUUGGCAAACUGCUCAGUGAGCCCAAGAUUUGUGGAUAUCUUCAUCCAUUUAUACAUGCAACAACAUAUCCUCAGACAGUGGAUUUGACCUUCCUAAAUGUGGUGCAUAUCUGGAGCAACUGGCAUUUCCCAUACUUUUCUGAAGACGUUUUCGGAUAAGUGCACAUAUUGCUGUAUGCUGUUGCCUAUGGAUUUGCUUGUCCUGCUUUCCGAGAUUGCGUCGGGACACAGGGAGCUGGAGUCAAAAUGAAGUCGCAGAAUGAAUUCUGGCAGAAGAGGGCAGAUGGCAAACUACAACUUUCUUUUUCUUUGUAAAAAAAGAAAACUUGCUUUAAAGAGGCAAUUGCUGCCGCUGUGUGGACUUCAUUGAAUCAUUGAAUGUCUCCUUCCAUCACGCAGUCCCUAGCUGUACAGUGGGGAGAGGAAUCAACACGCUUCAUGGAAGCACAAUGGUCAUCUUCAAAAUCUGUGAAUAACUUGCCAUCCAUCUCACUGGGUGCUGCGUGAAUAAACACUUCAAGAACUUUAGCAGGAGAUAUCCUACCAAAAAGGUUGCAGAAAUCAAGACAAAAGGUAGCUGAAAUCAAGACAAGGUUAAAAUACCAGUCUGGGAUGCUGCAAAAAGCUAGGUUCGCAUCCCAGUUUUACCAGAAACGGCUUUUGUAGUAUCGGUCAAAUCAUGUAGGUCCUAUUUCAGCUAAUUAUUUACCAUACGCCUCUGUUUACACUUGCAGGUUUGCUGGCUUCAGUGGAUCACUGUGUUUAAUAUUUUAAGUACAUGCCUAACUGAUGUAUCUGGGAUUAAUGAGACAAGAGGGGAAAAUGUCAUCGAAGCAUCUUUCAUUAAUCAUUAUAAACUACUUAAUAAGGCCUCACAUAUAUAAAUUGAGAAAAAUCAGACAGGAAAAAAAGCACAUUGUGAGCUGUGCUAGCAGAAAAGAAGUGUUAUUCUUCUAGUCUGGGGAGAGGACAGGUAAAACUUCGUAUGUAGGUUAGUGUUUAAACAAAUCAAGGGUCCUGAUUCUAAGUCUGGGAGUAACAUUGCAUUGAAUUAAUGCACUGACACUAGCAUAAACCUCAUAUGGGGUGAUAGGUGUAGACUUAAGGUAUUUCAUGCUUGAAGAAGUAUUCAGUGAAGGAAGUACUACUAUAACUAUUUGAGAGAGACUGUGCUAAUGGGUUUUUGCAGGUUUAAUGAGUUUCUCCAAUGCAAAUGUUUUCAAAAACGUUAUGAAUGCCAAGUUUGCCCAUCUAGAAUACUUCACCUCUGAGGACGGCAAAAAAAAGCUGUCCUGGCAUUAGCCUUCAUUAAUACAGAUUUUGGACAUGGGAUGGCUUGAA